CCUACGGGAGGCAGCAGUGAGGAAUAUUGGUCAAUGGACGCAAGUCUGAACCAGCCAUGCCGCGUGCAGGAAGACGGCUCUAUGAGUUGUACACUGCUUUUGUACGAGGGUAAACGCAGAUACGCGUAUCUGUCUGAAAGUAUCGUACGAAUAAGGAUCGGCUAACUCCGUGCCAGCAGCCGCGGUAAUACGGAGGAUUCAAGCGUUAUCCGGAUUUAUUGGGUUUAAAGGGUGCGUAGGCGGUCGGAUAAGUUAGAGGUGAAAUCCCGAGGCUCAACUUCGGAAUUGCCUCUGAUACUGUUCGGCUAGAGAGUAGUUGCGGUAGGCGGAAUGUAUGGUGUAGCGGUGAAAUGCUUAGAGAGCAUACAGAACACCGAUUGCGAAGGCAGCUUACCAAGCUACUUCUGACGUUGAGGCACGAAAGCGUGGGGAGCAAACAGGAUUAGAGACCCUGGUAGUC
rnacentral:rRNA from 1 species